UUCUGUAAGCCGUUGAAGGUGUCCUGUGAGGGGUGCUGGAGGUAUCAGAAGUGCGAAUGCUGACAUAAGUAACGAUAAAGCGGGUGAAAAGCCCGCUCGCCGGAAGACCAAGGGUUCCUGUCCAACGUUAAUCGGGGCAGGGUGAGUCGACCCCUAAGGCGAGGCCGAAAGGCGUAGUCGAUGGGAAACGGGUUAAUAUUCCCGUACUUGGUGUUACUGCGAAGGGGGGACGGAGAAGGCUAUGUUGGCCGGGCGACGGUU
rnacentral:rRNA from 1 species